rnacentral:rRNA from 1 species
UACCAUCACCCCGAGUGGUCGGGACGUUUAUUGGGCCUAAAGCAUCCGUAGCCGGUUCUACAAGUCUUCCGUUAAAUCCAACUGCUUAACAGGUGGGCUGCGGAAGAUACUAUAGAGCUAGGAGGCGGGAGAGGCAAGCGGUACUCGAUGGGUAGGGGUAAAAUCCGUUGAUCCAUUGAAGACCACCAGUGGCGAAGGCGGCUUGCCAGAACGCGCUCGACGGUGAGGGAUGAAAGCUGGGGGAGCAAACCGG